rnacentral:tRNA from 1 species
GCGGAUGUAGCCAAGCGGAUCAAGGCAGUGGAUU